AGGGCGCAGGGUGGAUGCCUUGGCACUAAGAGCCGAUGAAAGACGUGAUAAGCUGCGAAAAGCUUCGGGGAGGAGCAAAUAUCCUUUGAUCCGGAGAUAUCUGAAUGGGGAAACCCGGCUGAGAAGACCUCAGUCACUGUAUGGUAAAUCCAUAGCCAUACAGAGGGAACCCGGUGAACUGAAACAUCUAAGUAGCCGGAGGAAGAGAAAGAAACAUCGAUUUUGUUAGUAGCGGCGAGCGAAAGCGAAAGAGGCCAAACCGGAGUGCGUGCACUCCGGGGUUCGGACCGCAUUUAAGAUUCAGUGAUUCUAGCAGAAAGGUUUGGGAAAGCCUGCCGGAGAGGGUGAAAGCCCCGUAAGCGAAAGGAAAACUGACUGAGCGGGAUCCAGAGUACAUCGAGACACGAGAAACCUUGAUGGAAUGAGCGGGGACCACCCCGUAAGCCUAAAUACUACUUAGUGACCGAUAGCGCAUAGUACUGUGAAGGAAAGGUGAAAAGGACCCCGGGAGGGGAGUGAAAGAGAACCUGAAACCCUGUGUCUACAAGCUGUGGGACCUCUUUAUAUGAGGGACUGCGUACUUUUUGUAGAACGGUCCGGCGAGUUGUGCGUACUGGCGAGGUUAAGGACUUAAGGUCUGGAGCCGAAGUGAAAGCAAGCGUUAAUAGCGCGUCAAGUCAGUGAGUGCAGACCCGAAACCGGGUGACCUAUCCAUGUCCAGGUUGAAGCUUCCGUAAGAGGAAGUGGAGGACCGAACCCACAUCCGUUGAAAAGGGUGGGGAUGAGGUGUGGAUAGCGGAGAAAUUCCAAUCGAACCCGGAGAUAGCUGGUUCUCCUCGAAAUAGCUUUAGGGCUAGCCUCAUGAGAGUCUUAUGGAGGUAGAGCACUGAAUUGCCUAGGGGGCGUCAAAGCUUACCAAAGCAUAUCAAACUCCGAAUGCCAUCAAGAUGAUUCAUGGGAGUCAGACCAUACGAGAUAAGUUGGAUGGUCAAAAGGGAAAGAGCCCAGACCUACAGCUAAGGUCCCAAAGUACGUGUUAAGUGGAAAAGGAUGUGGGGAUUCUAAGACAACUAGGACGUUGGCUUAGAAGCAGCCAUUCAUUGAAAGAGUGCGUAAUAGCUCACUAGUCGAGAGUCCCUGCGCCGAAAAUGUCCGGGGCUGAAACACGACACCGAAGCUUAGGAAUGUGUAAACAUUGGUAGAGGAGCAUUGCUAGCGGGAUGAAGCCAUACCGUAAGGAGUGGUGGACUGCCAGGAAGAGAGAAUGCCGGAAUGAGUAGCGAGAUGAAGGUGAGAAUCCUUCAGGCCGAAUAUCUAAGGUUUCCAGAGUAAAGCUGAUCUGCUCUGGGUAAGUCGGGACCUAAGGCGAGGUCGAAAGACGUAGUCGAUGGAUAACAGGUUGAAAUUCCUGUACCGCAUAUAAACAGAACUGUGGGGACACAGACAGGGAAUGGAAUCCGGGAAUGGAAAUCCCGGUGCAAGCGAGGUAGGAGUGCUGUUGGCAAAUCCGCAGCACGAUCUGAAGACGUGACGCGUACCGAACAUAAGUAGGGAAGUCCAGGCCCCUGGCUGUCAAGAAAAGCCGCUAUUGUUUUAUAUGUGCCCGUACCGCAAACCGACACAGGUGGAUGAGGAGAGAAUCCUAAGGCCGACGGGAGAAGUAUUGUUAAGGAACUCGGCAAAAUGACUCCGUAACUUCGGGAGAAGGAGUGCCAUGUAAAAGUGGCCGCAGAGAAUUGGCCCAAGCAACUGUUUAGCAAAAACACAGGUCUAUGCAAAACCGAAAGGUGAGGUAUAUGGGCUGACGCCUGCCCGGUGCUGGAAGGUUAAGGGGAGAGGUUAGCGCAAGCGAAGCUUUGAACUUAAGCCCCAGUAAACGGCGGCCGUAACUAUAACGGUCCUAAGGUAGCGAAAUUCCUUGUCGGGUAAGUUCCGACCCGCACGAAAGGCGUAAUGAUUUGAGCGCUGUCUCGACAAUGCAUCCGGUGAAAUUGAAGUACCAGUGAAGAUGCUGGUUACCUGCGCCAGGACGGAAAGACCCCAUGGAGCUUUACUCCAGCUUGAUACUGGGAUUCG
rnacentral:rRNA from 1 species